rnacentral:rRNA from 1 species
CACACCGCCCGUCACACCACGAAAGCUUGUUGUACCUGAAGUCGUUGGCGCCAACCGCAAGGAGGCAGACGCCCACGGUAUGACCAGUGAUUGGGGUG